UGUAUCUGAAGUCUGACGAGGAUGAGAACCUCCGGAGGGCAAGAGGUUCGACCCGAGCGAAGCGAGAGAACGUUGCGUCAGCAACGGCCCGCAGGGCGAGUCAUCCUCUAUCACCGGCAG
rnacentral:sRNA from 2 species